rnacentral:rRNA from 1 species
UACGUAGGGGGCAAGCGUUGUCCGGAAUCAUUGGGCGUAAAGAGCGUGUAGGCGGCCCGAUAAGUCCGCUGUGGAAAGUCCCAGGGCUCAACCCCUGGGAUGCCGGUGGAUACUGUCGGGCUCGAGUCCGGAAGAGGAGUGUGGAAUUCCUGGUGUGGCGGUGAAAUGCGCAGAUAUCAGGAGGAACACCAAUGGCGAAGGCAGCACUCUGGGACGUGACUGGACGCUGAGACGCGAAAGCCGUGGGGAGCAAACAGG